rnacentral:rRNA from 1 species
AUAGCGUAUAUUAAAGUUGUUGCAGUUAAAAAGCUCGUAGUUGAACUUCGGACCUGGCCGGACGGUCUGCCUAACGGUAUGUACUGUCUGGCUGGGCCUUACCUCUUGGUGAGCCGGCAUGCCCUUCACUGGGUGUGUUGGGGAACCAGGACUUUUACCUUGAGAAAAUUAGAGUGUUCAAAGCAGGCUUAUGCUCGAAUACAUUAGCAUGGAAUAAUAAAAUAGGACGUGCGGUUCUAUUUUGUUGGUUUCUAGAGUCGCCGUAAUGAUUAAUAGGGAUAGUUGGGGGCAUUAGUAUUCAGUUGCUAGAGGUGAAAUUCUUGGAUUUACUGAAGACUAACUACUG